GCAGGCUGUUCGUCCUUUUGGUGGUCGACGCUGUGGCGAGAGGUGUCCUUAAAUGGUAGCAUUUAUGAUGCCUUUAUCACCAUCCUGGCAGGGAUGGGCUGGAAGAUCUGUUUUAUAUGCCUGCAAGUUAACCAAAUCAACGUGCCUGGAGAGUCGGGGCUUAAUUCCCUCUCAUUCAGUGUCCUGAAAUGGCAGUAUAUAUCACUUGACUUUGCAGGAAUGGGCUGGUAGAUCUGCACUAUAUGCCUGCAACAUGCCUGGAGCAUUGGGAGAGUAGGGACCUGACUCCCUCACAUUCUUGAUCCAAUGUGGUUCUCGGCUUGAUUCUUACAGUGAACUCAUCUGCUGUGCCUGGAUUGAGAAUCGGCAGUCUGACCUCUGAAACUUGGACUUGCUGUUCUAAGUAACAAUGCCAGAGGAGCUCAGCAGACAGGCAGCAUCGAUGGAAAUGAAUAAAGUCAACAGUUGAGCCGAGACCCUUUAGAACUGUAAAGGAAGAAGUGAAGCAAGAGUAGUAUAAUGGUGAAGGCUGUUUCUAAAAUGUUAAAGGUGGACAUUUUUGUAUUCUUCCUUAAUAAAGUGUUAUUUAAUUGUC